AGCUAUACUGAAUGGAAAGCUGUGGCUGUUACUUUCAAUAUCGAUCUUACUGUGUCAUCCCAGGACAUUUCAUCAACGCCAGUCUCAAACAUUGUUUCAAACUCCAAGUUAACCCGCUCCUGAAAAUAACAAUAUUUCAGCAUAUUUCAGUCAGAACAUUUAUUCUUUGUUCUACGUACUGUGAUGAGGCCAGCUAACAUCAAUUUGUUGACGUACACCACUGCAGUGUGACAGAAGUAGAAGAUCAGUGGCAGUCGCAGUCGGUCCGGGCAUUUGUAAAAUACGGACUCGUCUAAAACAAAAAAUCAGUAAGCCGAUGAUCUAAUAGUAAAAUAAUUAAUGUAUAACAUGUUUUCAGAUGUUGAAAUAUGGAUUGUAUUGAAAUCUGAACUAAACAACAUUUAGCCUUAGUCCUUAUUUAGAAAUCUAGCAAUGUGAAAGUAUUUGAAAAUAAUUUGACUAUAAAACUAAGUGUCUAUAUAUGUUAUAAACUUAAUACUACAAAA